rnacentral:rRNA from 1 species
UACGUAGGGCGCAAGCGUUGUCCGGAAUUAUUGGGCGUAAAGAGCUCGUAGGCGGUUGUCGCGUCUGCUGUGAAAUCCCCAGGCUCAACUUGGGGCGUGCAGUGGGUACGGGCAGACUAGAGUGCGGUAGGGGAGACUGGAAUUCCUGGUGUAGCGGUGGAAUGCGCAGAUAUCAGGAGGAACACCGAUGGCGAAGGCAGGUCUCUGGGCCGUUAACUGGACGCUGGAGGAGCGAAAGCAUGGGGAGCGAACAGG